rnacentral:rRNA from 1 species
AUACGUAGGCAGCGAGCGUUGUUCGGAGUUACUGGGCGUAAAGGGUGUGUAGGCGGUUCUCUAAGUUUGGUGUGAAAUCUCCCGGCUUAACCGGGAGGGUGCGCCGAAAACUGGGGGGCUAGAGUGCGGGAAGGGAGAGUGGGAUUCCUGGUGUAGCGGUGAAAUGCGUAGAUAUCAGGAGGAACACCGGUGGCGAAGGCGGCUACCUGGACCGAUAUUGACGCUGAGACGCGAAAGCGUGGGUAGC